rnacentral:rRNA from 1 species
GUCUAUGGCCAUGCCACCCUGAACAAACCCACUGUCUAAUCUCAGAAGCUAAGCAGGCAGGCCUGGUUAGUACUUGGAUGGGAGACCACCUAGGACAACCAGGUGCUGUAGACA